UACGUAGGGGGCUAGCGUUGUCCGGAAUCAUUGGGCGUAAAGCGCGUGUAGGCGGCCCGGUAAGUCCGCUGUGAAAGUCGGGGGCUCAACCCUCGAAAGCCGGUGGAUACUGUCGGGCUCGAGUACGGAAGAGGCGAGUGGAAUUCCUGGUGUAGCGGUGAAAUGCGCAGAUAUCAGGAGGAACACCGAUUGCGAAGGCAGCUCGCUGGGACGUUACUGACGCUGAGAAGCGAAAGCGUGGGGAGCGAACAGG
rnacentral:rRNA from 1 species